GAGUUAUCUGAACCUUCGGGGAACGAUAACGGCGUCGAGCGGCGGACGGGUGAGUAAUGCCUAGGAAAUUGCCCUGAUGUGGGGGAUAACCAUUGGAAACGAUGGCUAAUACCGCAUAAUGCCUACGGGCCAAAGAGGGGGACCUUCGGGCCUCUCGCGUCAGGAUAUGCCUAGGUGGGAUUAGCUAGUUGGUGAGGUAAUGGCUCACCAAGGCGACGAUCCCUAGCUGGUCUGAGAGGAUGAUCAGCCACACUGGAACUGAGACACGGUCCAGACUCCUACGGGAGGCAGCAGUGGGGAAUAUUGCACAAUGGGCGCAAGCCUGAUGCAGCCAUGCCGCGUGUGUGAAGAAGGCCUUCGGGUUGUAAAGCACUUUCAGUCGUGAGGAAGGUGGUGUAGUUAAUAGCUGCAUUAUUUGACGUUAGCGACAGAAGAAGCACCGGCUAACUCCGUGCCAGCAGCCGCGGUAAUACGGAGGGUGCGAGCGUUAAUCGGAAUUACUGGGCGUAAAGCGCAUGCAGGUGGUUUGUUAAGUCAGAUGUGAAAGCCCGGGGCUCAACCUCGGAAUAGCAUUUGAAACUGGCAGACUAGAGUACUGUAGAGGGGGGUAGAAUUUCAGGUGUAGCGGUGAAAUGCGUAGAGAU
rnacentral:rRNA from 1 species